GAUGAACGCUGGCGGCGUGCUUAACACAUGCAAGUCGAACGAAGCAUUUAAGACAGAUUACUUCGGUUUGAAGUCUUUUAUGACUGAGUGGCGGACGGGUGGGUAACGCGUGGGUAACCUGCCUCAUACAGGGGGAUAGCAGCUGGAAACGGCUGGUAAUACCGCAUAAGCGCACAGUACCACAUGGUACAGUGUGAAAAACUCCGGUGGUAUGAGAUGGACCCGCGUCUGAUUAGCUUGUUGGCGGGGUAACGGCCCACCAAGGCGACGAUCAGUAGCCGACCUGAGAGGGUGACCGGCCACAUUGGGACUGAGACACGGCCCAGACUCCUACGGGAGGCAGCAGUGGGGAAUAUUGCACAAUGGAGGAAACUCUGAUGCAGCGACGCCGCGUGAGUGAAGAAGUAGUUCGCUAUGUAAAGCUCUAUCAGCAGGGAAGAUAGUGACGGUACCUGACUAAGAAGCUCCGGCUAAAUACGUG
rnacentral:rRNA from 1 species